rnacentral:tRNA from 1 species
GCCCCCGUAGCUCAAUGGAUAGAGUACCGGCCUCCGAAGCCGUGGAUGCCAGUUCGAUUCUGGCCGGGGGCA